rnacentral:rRNA from 1 species
UACGAGGGGGGCAAGCGUUGUUCGGAAUUAUUGGGCGUAAAAGGGGUGCGUAGGCGGUUUGGUAAGUCUUAUGUGAAAAUCCUACAGGGCUCAACGUUGUAGUCUGCAUGAGAAAACUGCCGGGCUUGAGUAUGGGAGAGGUGAGUGGAAAUUCCUGGUGUAGCGGUGAAAUGCGUAGAUAUCAGGAGGAACACCUGUGGCGAAAGCGGCUCACUGGACCAUAAACUGACGCUGGAUGCACGAAAGCCUAGGGGAGC